AGAAUCAACGCUGGCGGCGUGCCUAACACAUGCAAGUCGAACGAGAAAGCGGAGCAAUCCGCAAGUAAAGUGGCGCACGGGUGAGUAACACGUGACUAACCUACCCUGGAGUGGGGGAUAACUGAGAGAAAUCUUAGCUAAUACCGCAUAACACCUACGGGUCAAAGGAGCAAUUCGCUUCAGGAGGGGGUCGCGGCAGAUUAGAUAGUUGGCGGGGUAAUGGCCCACCAAGUCAGUGAUCUGUAUC
rnacentral:rRNA from 1 species